CCACAGGACUCGAGUAGGGCGGGACACGUGAAAUCCUGUCUGAACAUGGGGGGACCACCCUCCAAGCCUAAGUACUCCUCAGCGACCGAUAGCGAACCAGUACCGUGAGGGAAAGGUGAAAAGCACCCCGACGAGGGGAGUGAAACAGCACCUGAAACCGGAUGCUUACAAACAGUGGGAGCUCAAGGUUCGUCCUGAGUGACCGCGUACCUUUUGUAUAAUGGGUCAGCGACUUAAAGUUACGAGCGAGCUUAAGCCGAUAGGUGGAGGCGCAGCGAAAGCGAGUCUGAACAGGGCGUUCAGUUCGUGGCUUUAGACCCGAAACCGAGUGAUCUAGCCAUGUGCAGGAUGAAGGUGGGGUAACACCCACUGGAGGUCCGAACCAGUGCCCGUUGAAAAGGUCUUGGAUGACGUGUGGCUAGGGGUGAAAGGCCAAUCAAACUCGGAAAUAGCUGGUUCUCCGCGAAAGCUAUUUAGGUAGCGCCUCGCGUGAAUACCUCACGGGGUAGAGCACUGGAUGGGCUAGGGCCGCCCACAGCGGUACCAAACCCAACCAAACUCCGAAUACGUGAGAGUACUGCGCGGGAGACACACGGCGGGUGCUAACGUCCGUCGUGGAGAGGGAAACAACCCUGACCGACAGCUAAGGCCCCCAAUUCGUGGCUAAGUGGGAAAGGAUGUGGGACUCCCAAAACAACCAGGAGGUUGGCUUAGAAGCAGCCAUCCUUUAAAGAAAGCGUAACAGCUCACUGGUCUAAAUAAGGGGUCCUGCGCCGAAAAUGUAACGGGGCUCAAGCCACGAGCCGAAGCUUCGGAUGCAGUCCUUCGGGGCUGCGUGGUAGCGGAGCGUUCCCUAGGCCUGUGAAGCGGCACCUGUGAGGGGCCGUGGAGGUAUGGGAAGUGCGAAUGCUGACAUGAGUAACGACAAAGAGUGUGAAAGACACUCUCGCCGAAAGUCCAAGGGUUCCUGCGUAAAGUUAAUCUGCGCAGGGUUAGCCGGCCCCUAAGGCGAGGCCGAAAGGCGUAGUCGAUGGGAACGGGGCGAACAUUCCCCGGCCAGCGGAUGGUGACGGAUGCCGUGUA
rnacentral:rRNA from 1 species